UCCUUUGAAAAUGGAAGGUACGUCAAGUCAAAUUAAUGGAAAUGCAUUGCUUCACAAUGUUUAUCAACGCCUUGUGUAUUAUUUUUC